rnacentral:rRNA from 1 species
ACAGUCACACAUUAGAUACCCCUGUAGUCCCAGCCCUAAACGAUGCGCGUUAGGUGUAUCGGUGACCACGAGUCACCGAGGUGCCGAAGGGAAACCGUGAAACGUGCCGCCUGGGAAGUACGGUCGCAAGGCUGAAACUUAAAGGAAUUGGCGGGGAGCACCACAAGAGGUGGAGGCUGCGGUUCAAUUGGACUCAACGCCGGAAAACUCAUCGGGAGCGACAGCAGUAUGAUUGCCAGGUUGAUGACCUUGCUUGACAAGCUG